rnacentral:rRNA from 1 species
AGGAGAGUUUGAUCCUGGCUCAGGAUGAACGCUAGCGGCAGGCCUAAUACAUGCAAGUCGAACGGUAAAUGCCCUUUCGGGGGCAUGAGAGUGGCGCACGGGUGCGUAACGCGUAUGCAACCCACCCGCUGUCGGGGGAUAGCCCGUAGAAAUGCGAAUUAAUACCCCAUGAGGAGAUAGGGCGGCAUCGUCCUUUUUUCAAAACUUUGGUGACGGCGGACGGGCAUGCGUGCCAUUAGAUAGUUGGCGGGGUAACGGCCCACCAAGUCGACGAUGGCUAGGGGAUCUGAGAGGACGGUCCCCCACACUGGUACUGAGACACGGACCAGACUCCUACGGGAGGCAGCAGUAAGGGAUAUUGGUCAAUGGGGGGAACCCUGAACCAGCCAUGCCGCGUGAGGGAGUGAGGCCCUACGGGUCGUAAACCUCUUUUGCCGGGGGAUAAGGACAGUUACGUGUAGCUGUUUGAAGGUACCCGGAGAAUAAGCAUCGGCUAACUCCGUGCCAGCAGCCGCGGUAAUACGGAGGAUGCGAGCGUUAUCCGGAUUUAUUGGGUUUAAAGGGUGCGCAGGCGGGCGAUUAAGUCAGCGGUGAAAGGCUCGGGCUCAACCGGAGCAGUGCCGUUGAUACUGGUUGUCUUGAAUGCGGUCAAGGCCGGCGGAAUGUGGCGUGUAGCGGUGAAAUGCAUAGAUAUGCCACAGAACACCGAUAGCGAAGGCAGCUGGCCGGGCUUGCAUUGAUGCUGAGGCACGAAAGCGUGGGGAUAUGAACAGGAUUAGAUACCCUGGUAGUCCCCU